UACGGAGGGUGCAAGCGUUAUCCGGAUUCACUGGGUUUAAAGGGUGCGUAGGCGGACAGGUAAGUCAGUGGUGAAAUCUCCGAGCUUAACUCGGAAACUGCCGUUGAUACUAUUUGUCUUGAAUAUUGUGGAGGUAAGCGGAAUAUGUCAUGUAGCGGUGAAAUGCUUAGAUAUGACAUAGAACACCAAUUGCGAAGGCAGCUUACUACACAACAAUUGACGCUGAGGCACGAAAGCGUGGGGAGCAAACAGG
rnacentral:rRNA from 1 species